rnacentral:rRNA from 1 species
UACGUAGGGUGCAAGCGUUGUCCGGAAUUAUUGGGCGUAAAGAGCUCGUAGGCGGUUUGUCGCGUCUGCUGUGAAAACCCAGGGCUUAACCCUGGGCCUGCAGUGGGUACGGGCAGACUAGAGUGCGGUAGGGGAGAUUGGAAUUCCUGGUGUAGCGGUGGAAUGCGCAGAUAUCAGGAGGAACACCGAUGGCGAAGGCAGAUCUCUGGGCCGUAACUGGACGCUGAGGAGCGAAAGCAUGGGGAGCGAACAGG